GGGUUGUGAGGUUAAGCGACUAAGCGUACACGGUGGAUGCCCUGGCAGUCAGAGGCGAUGAAGGACGUGCUAAUCUGCGAUAAGCGUCGGUGAGGUGAUAUGAACCGUUAUAACCGGCGAUUUCCGAAUGGGGAAACCCAGUGUGUUUCGACACACUAUCAUUAACUGAAUCCAUAGGUUAAUGAGGCGAACCGGGGGAACUGAAACAUCUAAGUACCCCGAGGAAAAGAAAUCAACCGAGAUUCCCCCAGUAGCGGCGAGCGAACGGGGAGCAGCCCAGAGCCUGAAUCAGUGUGUGUGUUAGUGGAAGCGUCUGGAAAGGCGUGCGAUACAGGGUGACAGCCCCGUACACAAAAAUGCACAUACUGUGAGCUCGAUGAGUAGGGCGGGACACGUGGUAUCCUGUCUGAAUAUGGGGGGACCAUCCUCCAAGGCUAAAUACUCCUGACUGACCGAUAGUGAACCAGUACCGUGAGGGAAAGGCGAAAAGAACCCCGGCGAGGGGAGUGAAAAAGAACCUGAAACCGUGUACGUACAAGCAGUGGGAGCCUCUUAAUGGGGUGACUGCGUACCUUUUGUAUAAUGGGUCAGCGACUUAUAUUCUGUAGCAAGGUUAACCGAAUAGGGGAGCCGAAGGGAAACCGAGUCUUAACUGGGCGUUAAGUUGCAGGGUAUAGACCCGAAACCCGGUGAUCUAGCCAUGGGCAGGUUGAAGGUUGGGUAACACUAACUGGAGGACCGAACCGACUAAUGUUGAAAAAUUAGCGGAUGACUUGUGGCUGGGGGUGAAAGGCCAAUCAAACCGGGAGAUAGCUGGUUCUCCCCGAAAGCUAUUUAGGUAGCGCCUCGUGAAUUCAUCUCCGGGGGUAGAGCACUGUUUCGGCAAGGGGGUCAUCCCGACUUACCAACCCGAUGCAAACUGCGAAUACCGGAGAAUGUUAUCACGGGAGACACACGGCGGGUGCUAACGUCCGUCGUGAAGAGGGAAACAACCCAGACCGCCAGCUAAGGUCCCAAAGUCAUGGUUAAGUGGGAAACGAUGUGGGAAGGCCCAGACAGCCAGGAUGUUGGCUUAGAAGCAGCCAUCAUUUAAAGAAAGCGUAAUAGCUCACUGGUCGAGUCGGCCUGCGCGGAAGAUGUAACGGGGCUAAACCAUGCACCGAAGCUGCGGCAGCGACACUAUGUGUUGUUGGGUAGGGGAGCGUUCUGUAAGCCUGUGAAGGUGUACUGUGAGGUAUGCUGGAGGUAUCAGAAGUGCGAAUGCUGACAUAAGUAACGAUAAAGCGGGUGAAAAGCCCGCUCGCCGGAAGACCAAGGGUUCCUGUCCAACGUUAAUCGGGGCAGGGUGAGUCGACCCCUAAGGCGAGGCCGAAAGGCGUAGUCGAUGGGAAACAGGUUAAUAUUCCUGUACUUGGUGUUACUGCGAAGGGGGGACGGAGAAGGCUAUGUUGGCCGGGCGACGGUUGUCCCGGUUUAAGCGUGUAGGCUGGUUUUCCAGGCAAAUCCGGAAAAUCAAGGCUGAGGCGUGAUGACGAGGCACUACGGUGCUGAAGCAACAAAUGCCCUGCUUCCAGGAAAAGCCUCUAAGCAUCAGGUAACAUCAAAUCGUACCCCAAACCGACACAGGUGGUCAGGUAGAGAAUACCAAGGCGCUUGAGAGAACUCGGGUGAAGGAACUAGGCAAAAUGGUGCCGUAACUUCGGGAGAAGGCACGCUGAUAUGUAGGUGAAGUCCCUUGCGGAUGGAGCUGAAAUCAGUCGAAGAUACCAGCUGGCUGCAACUGUUUAUUAAAAACACAGCACUGUGCAAACACGAAAGUGGACGUAUACGGUGUGACGCCUGCCCGGUGCCGGAAGGUUAAUUGAUGGGGUUAGCGGUAACGCGAAGCUCUUGAUCGAAGCCCCGGUAAACGGCGGCCGUAACUAUAACGGUCCUAAGGUAGCGAAAUUCCUUGUCGGGUAAGUUCCGACCUGCACGAAUGGCGUAAUGAUGGCCAGGCUGUCUCCACCCGAGACUCAGUGAAAUUGAACUCGCUGUGAAGAUGCAGUGUACCCGCGGCAAGACGGAAAGACCCCGUGAACCUUUACUAUAGCUUGACACUGAACAUUGAGCCUUGAUGUGUAGGAUAGGUGGGAGGCUUUGAAGUGUGGACGCCAGUCUGCAUGGAGCCGGCCUUGAAAUACCACCCUUUAAUGUUUGAUGUUCUAACGUUGGCCCCUGAUCGGGGUUGCGGACAGUGUCUGGUGGGUAGUUUGACUGGGGCGGUCUCCUCCUAAAGAGUAACGGAGGAGCACGAAGGUUGGCUAAUCCUGGUCGGACAUCAGGAGGUUAGUGCAAUGGCAUAAGCCAGCUUGACUGCGAGCGUGACGGCGCGAGCAGGUGCGAAAGCAGGUCAUAGUGAUCCGGUGGUUCUGAAUGGAAGGGCCAUCGCUCAACGGAUAAAAGGUACUCCGGGGAUAACAGGCUGAUACCGCCCAAGAGUUCAUAUCGACGGCGGUGUUUGGCACCUCGAUGUCGGCUCAUCACAUCCUGGGGCUGAAGUAGGUCCCAAGGGUAUGGCUGUUCGCCAUUUAAAGUGGUACGCGAGCUGGGUUUAGAACGUCGUGAGACAGUUCGGUCCCUAUCUGCCGUGGGCGCUGGAGAACUGAGGGGGGCUGCUCCUAGUACGAGAGGACCGGAGUGGACGCAUCACUGGUGUUCGGGUUGUCAUGCCAAUGGCACUGCCCGGUAGCUAAAUGCGGAAGAGAUAAGUGCUGAAAGCAUCUAAGCACGAAACUUGCCCCGAGAUGAGUUCUCCCUGACUC
rnacentral:rRNA from 1 species